UAAAGCAUGUUGUCAGUGUUCCACCAUUACAGCUCCCUGUUGAGCCUUUUUCUAUCUCCUGAUGAUCAUCCAGACUCCUGCAUCUGCUUGUUGGUCUCAUUUGACAGCAUACAUGUGGAAAUGGCUUCAAUAAGAAAGGCUUGGGUCUGAAAAAUGGUAAUUAUUUCCAGCGUGGACCAGACUGAAAAAUGAUUUCCGAGCAUCUGGUUGGUCAUUGUAUGGAGAAGCACUUUGGAGACUGAGUCAACACACCUGAGGGAGAGUGAAUAAAGCAAUCAGCAGAUGACACACACCUACAGAACACCUGGAGGCAGACAAAGGAGCUGAUUGGCUGCUCUUAAACAUUCUCAAAAUAAAAAGCUUUUACCUCAGAAAGAGAAAUAAGAGAAAGAGCGGAGGAAGAUUAAUAAAGAGAAAAGUAGUAAAAAAUAAAGAAGGAAGAAACAGAAGGAAAAAUGCAGGAUUUUGGGCAGACAUCUUUGAGAAAAGCAGAAUUAAGAUGAUAUUUAAAUGAUGUAAGUUGAACACAAUACAGAAAACUCAUCUGCAGGAACUUCAUUUAAUGAAAGAAAUGUACUCAACAUCAGGAGAUAUAAAGCAGGAAGACAAUCUGAAUGUGGCUUAUUUGAAUGAAUUCCUCCCAACAUGCAGAGUUGGCUAAGCAGUUAAAUGUGAUGAAAUUAGUCCCAGGCUGCCAGUCUUUCCAGUAGUUUUAAUAGUUUUGAAAGUUCAGGACGCAGCAUGUUGGGCUGACUGGUUUGCAUAAUAAUUUGCAGA